GACGAACGCUGGCGGCGUGCUUAACACAUGCAAGUCGAACGGAAAGGCCCUGCUUUUGUGGGGUGCUCGAGUGGCGAACGGGUGAGUAACACGUGAGUAACCUGCCCUUGACUUUGGGAUAACUUCAGGAAACUGGGGCUAAUACCGGAUAGGAGCUCCUGCUGCAUGGUGGGGGUUGGAAAGUUUCGGCGGUUGGGGAUGGACUCGCGGCUUAUCAGCUUGUUGGUGGGGUAGUGGCUUACCAAGGCUUUGACGGGUAGCCGGCCUGAGAGGGUGACCGGCAACAUUGGGACUGAGAUACGGCCAAGACUCCUACGGGAGGCAGCAGUGGGGAAAAUUGAAAAAUGGGCGGAAGCCUGAUGCAGCAACGCCGCGUGCGGGAUGACGGCCUUCGGGUGGUAAACCGCUUUCGCCUGUGACGAAGCGUGAGUGACGGUAAUGGGUAAAGAAGCACCGGCUAACUACGUG
rnacentral:rRNA from 1 species